UUCCUCGGAAUUCCGUCGGAAAAUUCCGAGGGAUUUCCGAGGAAAGAAGAAAUUCCGAGGAAUUAUUUCCGAGGACUUGUUUCGUCGGUAUGUCGUCGGAAUAACGUUAUUCCGGCGAAAUUCCGACGAUUUUUUCCCUUAGUAUCCUUGCUGUUUUCUUGUAGUGCCAUGGCAACAUGGACAUUUGCCUUGGGUCCAUGGAUCCAUAAUUUUUUGUGUGUUGUUUUAAAGGUCUAUUCAAACUGUGAAAUUAUCAAAAAAAUUCAUAAUUAAGUAAAUUGAAUUUACUUAUUAAAAACAAAACAAUAAAAAAUCUAUAUUUUUACUAUUAGUUUUGAGAUACUUUUUUUUAUUUGUCUCACAUCUUAGAGCUAAGUUGAAAGAAAUAUAGAGAAUAAAAAAGAGAAAUUCUCAAGGAUAGCAAUUUUUAAGUUUUUGUCACAAAAAUAGCCCUCAAUGAAGAAAAUUGCCAAAAUAAAUUUUAUUAAAGGGUAAAAAUGUAUUUUUUACCCUAGAGUUAACUAGAUUAAACUUGGGGUUUAAAGUUAAGGGGAGGGGUGUUGGAGAUCGGGUUUCAAAUUUUAAAAAUAAAUAUUAAAAUUUUCAAAAUAAAAAGGAGUUAUUUUGAUCAUCUUCUUUUUUGAAGGCUAUUUUGUGACAAAAACUUAAAAAUGAUAUUUGAGAGAAUUGCUUAAGAAAAAAUAUAAAAAAUAUUAUAAAAUGUUCUUUAUUUUGUGUUUUGCUCAGGGCUAUUAUAUUAAUUAAGACGGCAGUGUAUAGAUGAAUAGAUAUGUGUCGUCAAAUAUAUAUUUAUAUUUUCAUCCCACCAAAAACGUUACAAUGAAUCUUGGGCUCUUUCCGUAUUGUGGGUUUAGUGUUGCUGUAUCGAUGAGGCGGACGUGUUAACAUUUUCUACAAGGAUGGCACCAGUAUAAAAAGGAUUUGAUAUAUUAGAGCGAUUCCAAUGGUAGAAAUAUAAAUCAGGUUGUUAGUAAUAAAAAUAUAAUAUUUUGAUAAUUAUUUAGUUUUUAUUUUUUUGUAUUUUGUAUAAAAAGUUAUUCAAUUGAAAAAGGACAUUUGUACUCAAAGGUUUUAAACCUAUUUCCUAAAAUUUCACUGCAAACAAAACUUUUCUCACACAUUUUCUUGUUUUUUUUUUUUUAUGACCGUGGUAUCCGGAGCCUCGAGAGGAUCCGACUAGCGCCAAUGACCGUCCAUCGGAGUUUAGCUGUGGAGCCCGCCGAGGCAUCCAGGAGGACUGGUGAUCAGCCCAUGUAAAUCCCACCAGUGGCCACACAUUAGCAUGCUUCUCCGUAUUGGGCCCGAAAAUCCCUCAAGAUAAUCACCUCCUAGCGGCAGUCGAACCCAUAACUUUCGAGGUGAAUAACAAGAUCGAUUUGGGAGAGCGAUUUCCAGUCGGGUUUGAAAAGGAAAAAUGAUUAAAUCUGCUACUUUCGGUUGUUGAGAGCGUCAAACGCUGCAGAUUCAAAAUCAGUCGUACGGCGUAGCUUUCAAUUUCAUGGCGGCGCGAUUACGGAGCAAACGACAACGAAGCAAGAUCUGGUAUGAAGUGGGUUACCAGUGGAUCAACGAAUACGGGUUUUUUUUGUGUGGCAAUGCUUGUGCUCUUGGAAUUUAAUGCCACAUAGAGCCUGAAUCAGUGCGCCUCACUCACAAAUGAACCACUUGCAGUUGCAGCGAAGACAUAUGCAGUUGCAGCCUUCUCGACAUUCAACCCCGCCCAACUCCCGUAGUGACUUGUUGGAUGGAACCCUGAUGUUGUUCUUUAUCUACUCAUAAGCUACUUAUAGUGACAUAUUGGAUGGAACCGCAAAGUCGUUCUUUCUCUACUCAUAUGCUACCUAUAGUGACUUGUUGAAUAGAACCCCCUUUGUUAUUAUGUCUACUUUUCAAAUGUUUACUCGCAUGUUGUACCUAAUUUUCAGGAAUUUUAUAUACUUUAUGCAAUACAUAUGAACGAUUGUAUUGUCAUCUAGUAAUUGUAUCAUUUCUAUAUAUACUAUUAUCUUUUAUACUA